AGAAUGGUUGGAAAUCAUUCGGAGAGUGUAAAGGCACAAGCGAGCUUGACUGCGAGACAGACAGGUCGAGCAGGGACGAAAGUCGGGCUUAGUGAUCCGGUGGUUCCGCAUGGAAGGGCCAUCGCUCAACGGAUAAAAGCUACCCUGGGGAUAACAGGCUUAUCUCCCCCAAGAGUCCACAUCGACGGGGAGGUUUGGCACCUCGAUGUCGGCUCAUCGCAUCCUGGGGCUGUAGUCGGUCCCAAGGGUUGGGCUGUUCGCCCAUUAAAGCGGUACGCGAGCUGGGUUCAGAACGUCGUGAGACAGUUCGGUCCCUAUCCGUCGCGGGCGUAGGAAAUUUGAGAGGACCUGUCCUUAGUACGAGAGGACCGGGAUGGACAUACCGCUGGUGUACCAGUUGUUCCGCCAGGAGCAUCGCUGGGUAGCUAUGUAUGGACGAGAUAAACGCUGAAAGCAUCUAAGUGUGAAACUCGCCUCGAGAUGAGAUUUCCCAUUCCCUUCGGGGAAGUAAGACCCCACAAAGAUGAUGUGGUAGAUAGGAUGGAAGUGGAAGUGCAGUGAUGCAUGGAGCGGACCAUUACUAAUCGGUCGAGGACUUAACCAAG
rnacentral:rRNA from 1 species